rnacentral:tRNA from 1 species
ACCUGGUUAGCUCAGUUGGCAGAGCGCUCGGCUGGAAAUGGAGAGGUCCCCGGUUCGAUCCCCGGACGGGGCG